CAGUCGAACGAAGUAGCAAUACUUAGUGGCAGACGGGUGAGUAACAUGUAGGUAUCUGCCCUUUGGCCUGGAAUAACACGAGGAAACUUGUGCUAAUACCGGAUAAGUUUUUACGGAGAAAGCUUUAUGCACCAUUGGAUGAGCCUGCACUUGAUUAGUUUGUUGGUGGGGUAAUGGCCUACCAAGACUGUGAUCAAUAGCUGAUUUGAGAGGAUGAUCAGCCACAUUGGGACUGAGACACGGCCCAAACUCCUACGGGAGGCAGCAGUGGGGAAUCUUGCACAAUGGAGGAAACUCUGAUGCAGCGAUGCCGCGUGAGUGAAGAAGGCCCUUGGGUUGUAAAGCUCUUUCGUCGGGGAAGAAAAUGACUGUACCCGAAUAAGAAGGUCCGGCUAACUUCGUGCCAGCAGCCGCGGUAAUACGAAGGGACCUAGCGUAGUUCGGAAUUACUGGGCUUAAAGAGUUCGUAGGUGGUUGAAAAAGUUGGUGGUGAAAUCCCAGAGCUUAACUCUGGAACUGCCAUCAAAACUUUUCAGCUAGAGUAUGAUAGAGGAAAGCAGAAUUUCUAGUGUAGAGGUGAAAUUCGUAGAUAUUAGAAAGAAUACCAAUUGCGAAGGCAGCUUUCUGGAUCAUUACUGACACUGGGGAACGAAAGCAUGGGUAGCGAAGAGGAUUAGAUACCCUCGUAGUCCAUGCCGUAAACGAUGUGUGUUAGACGUUGGAAAUUUAUUUUCAGUGUCGCAGCGAAAGCGAUAAACACACCGCCUGGGGAGUACGACCGCAAGGUUAAAACUCAAAUGAAUUGACGGGGACCCGC
rnacentral:rRNA from 1 species